CCUCUUUUUGUCUCAAUGUAUUAUUUCAAUAUUGUGCAUGUCUAUAAUUGAUGACAAUACUGUAUUUUUUCUGUUAAUACUCGUAUAUGUUGUCAAUGCAUUUAUUUGUAAUGUUGAUAUGCUUAAAUAAAUCAGUAAAAUACUUUUAUCAACUGUGAUCCAAUUUCAGUUUAUAUAUAUUUUUUAAAAGGUAGGCUUUGUGUAGUACAAAUUUUACGAAUUUAGAUUUUAAAUUGAUUUCUUAUGCCUGAUAGAUAUAAUUGAUUACUUCAGCCUGAUAGAUAUUAGCAAAUUCAAACCCAUUGCAAGAAGUGGUUUUUAUUCAGCUUGUAAAAUUUGAGGUAACAAACUAACAUAUAUUGCAAAUUAAAUAAAAUCUUAUAACAAUUUAUGAUUACAAGCUUAUAUUUAUUAUUAUAAAAUCUUUUUAAAUUUAUUUAUUGUUAUAAAUAAAUUUAUUAUAUAUAUAAAUUUAUUAUUAUAUAUUUUUUUAAAUCUUAAAAAUUGUUCCAUAAAAACCGACUUCAAUCGUGCCAAAACUGUAUUGAACCGAUUUUGGUAAAAUUUCUUUGAGACCAAUCUGUAAGUACCUAUAUCUUUUCCGUUAAAAAAUAAUUUUCUAAAUAACUGAUAGAGUUAUGAGGUAACAAACAUAAAAAAAAAAAUACAAGCGGACUCCUUUCUUUUUUAAGUCGGCUAAAAAUAUAAUAACUUAAAGAGACAUUAAUAUCGGAAUUAAAAAUUUAAAUUAUACGGAACUUUUAAACUUAACACAUACUUUUGGUGAUAAAACAAUCACUUAUGUUUACUAAAUAAAGGCGAUAAUUAAUUAAGUACCUAUCUGUACUGAGAAUGAGAAAUGAUAAAAAUAAUAUAUUUAUGAAUAUGUAUUCUAAUCGUUUCUUAAUGUACAUCAUUACCUAAGCAGGUUUUAGAAUUGCUCAGUCUUUAAGUAAACUUGGUCGCGAAGCAGCGUCGCUAUGUGGAAUCUUAUAAUAUUGUGUGUUUGUUUCCAAAGUACAUUAUGUGCCUCAUUAACAUACGAUGAUCUGCUAAUGACUACAUACAGUCCAGAAGAAACAUUUCAGAGAAGAAUGAAAAUAGCUUUAACGAAAGCCAGCCAAACGGGAAAUGUUAUAAUAACUAGCAACAAGGACAAAAUCGUAUUUGAUACUCGUAAUAUAGCAAAAAAUAUAGCAACAGAAUCAAAUUUUAAUACAACAAAUGGAAAGUCUACUGGGAGUGAUAAGUACAAUGGAUCGAUUGCUGAUAAUAAGGGUACAGUCAAGCCGGUUUUAGUUCCGUCCUCAAUAUUUUAUGGUGAAGAGUGUGCUAAUGGAAUGAUAAAAGUGAAUCAAAGGGGUAAGCGAAAUGAAAACUGACAAUCCAUCUCGAAUCUCUCAGAGAAAGUCGGAUUGGCAGCCGCUCCAAUUAGCUGUCUAUUUGUUUUAGUUCUUCAGACUGAGGCGGAAAAUUAUUGUAUACUUUUCAUCACGCUACGAUCAAUAGGAGCAGAGCAGUGAAGGGAAAUGUUGGGAAAACGGGAGAAGUUACUCCAUUUUUAAGCUUUCGUCGCGUGUGCAGCCUAAAUGGCCCCUUUUUAAAAUGUAAAAAUGUCCACCCGUGAGACGCCGGGACGGGCCGCUAGUUAAUAAAUAUAACGAUACAAUUGUAUAAGUACUGUAAGGCGGUCUUAUUGUUGAGCGCAAUCUUUCAAGACAACGUUAGAGUAAUGGAUUUAUUUGUUGUACAAGUAGGUAUGAUAGUAUUGUAUUAAUUAAGAAAGUUAACAGCGUAAACCAAUUUGGUAUUAUUUAUUUAUUUAACACUUUAUUGCACCAACAUAACAGGAUUUGUUGAACAAUUUUCAAUACGUAUAAUGUAGUACAAAAGGCGGUCUUAUUGCUAAGCAAUCUCAUCCAGACAACCUUUGGGUCGAAGGAAUUUGGUAUGUAUUAAUUGUAAAAUUAUUGUUGUUUUUUUUUUCUUUGUAACAGAUAUAUUUAUUAGAAAGAAAUUACGUAAAAGAUUUAUGUUAACACUAAUACGUGCCUAGACAAUGGCGGACCGGCAUAAACGUAGUGGGUAGGCCGUGUAAAUUAUUACAGCGGAACGGUCACCAUACUACCCUGCAAAUUUUAUAUUAAUCGCUUGGUUGAGACGCCCUCUGUGUGACACUAUACUUUACUACUACAAGACUGUCUUGUUGCUGCUCUGUAAAUCUUUUUAUAAAAUAUCUAUUUAAAGUAAAACAAAAUCUGAUAAAUGUAGAUAUUAAAUACGAUAACUGCACCAACCGGAGUAUUUGUAUGUAUGUAUAUUAAUGUUGUAUCAACCAUUUAUGAUAUUUACUAAUGUUUGCCCGCGACUUAGACUGGGAUGCUACAUCUCUGUACCUUGUAAUAUUGCAAAUAUUUUUUUCUGCUGCAAGCAAUCUAAAUUCUUAAAAUGAAAAAAAAAAAGACACUGAAAGACUGGCUUAUCGAGAAGGAGUUCUAAAGUGUUGAAGAACAAAUAAAUAAUCAAUAAUAAAGAACAAUAUGAAUAAUGUUUAACGCUGAAUUUUAUAAAUGUAAUUACAAUUUGAAGUGACGGGAUUAUUAUUGUUAUAAAUUAAUAUUAUUUUUAAACAUUAUUAAUUUUAUUAAGUAGAUAGAAAACGCUACGUUCUCGAAAUUAGAAUAAAAUACCACGAAUUUGUAAUGGGAAUGGCAUAAUUAACUGUAACUCGACUUGAAAUUCUGUAAAUGAUGAAUAAUUAUUUGAUUUUUUUUUUGUAUGAAAUUUGGUGUAAAAUUGGUACAAUAGUUUCACCAAUGAUUACGUUCAUCACUAUAAUCUGGCAUGAAAAAUUUGUUUUAAAGUAUAAGGUAAUACUGAAAUUUCCCAUGUCUUCUUAAAUAGGACCGAGACAUACAUAAAUACAUACAUAUCUGUCACGCCUGUCUCCCAUUAGGGUAGGCAGAAACAAUGGAACGCCAAAUGCUUCGAUUCAAACAAACCACUAUAGGGCCGAGACUUAGAAUGCUAAACACUAUUGUUUUAAAGUAUUUGAUUUCCUUCAAUAUCAGUAGGCGGUACUCACAUCAGGACUAAUGUCUGUGAAGUUGGCACUGGACACGAACUCCUUGAGAAAACCAUCCAGCUCUGUACCCUCGAUGUAGCCAUUACCUGCGCAAAAAGCAUCACUUUGUAAAUAUUUUUAUGCUGAUUUAAAAACAAGCUAACUGCCCACCUGAUGGAAAGUGAUAAUAAAUAGUCCUGCUAUGCACUGCUAUGCUCGCAGUGCGAGGACAGACCCUGUGAUGCAAAUCGCUAAACGCCAUCUGAAGAAGACUUCCAGAUGAAGUCGAAACAAUUGUCGGAAACAACAAAUCAUACAAUGAGUUCAUUAAUCUCCCGAAUUUAUAUAGACAUUGAAUAAAAAUGAACAGAAGCUUUAAAAAUAAAAUAAAUAAUCCUCGCCAAUAGACAUGAACUGCACCACGGAAAUCACUGAAUACCAUAUGACACCCAUGGUAUCUCUGAUACGUUGACAUUACCGAGGACUAUAGUGUUAUAAUUUUAUACUUUUCCAUGUUCCGUUGAGAAUAAUAGAGGUAGCAAAACAGGCUCCUCUUCACGAGCAUUUUCAGUAUCCGGACUUGGAUAUAUUUACUUGUAAACUUGUCGAGUUUCGUAGAAUAGCAGUACAUUAUUUAGAAAAUGUUCAAUAAAUAAAUGUUAUUAUGUCUUGUAUUGUAUGUGAUUGCUAAGGGAGCGAAUUGGGAAACUGUCAAGAUUUCUUAGUUUGUAAAUAUAAAUAAAAUAAUUCAUGAUCCA